rnacentral:lncRNA from 1 species
CUAAACAUUUUAAGAGGGCAGCUAACUGCUUCAAGGCCAGCACGGGAGACAAUUUCUCCACUCAACUACUAUGGGGUCUUAUAUAGCAUCAUGUCAUCAUGGGAGUAACAUCUCCUUUGCCAUAUAAGGCGGAUUCUUUACCACUGAGCUACCUGAGAAGCCCAUACAAGUUUUACCUCAAGGCAAAAUAAGAGACUUAAGAGAAAGCACAUAAAUCACUUUUAGACCACCAAACAUGGUUAAAUAAAGAGAUAUGUUCUGUACAAUGACUGGGGUGAAUGGUGAUUUCAAGAUAAGUGAAACUAAUUUUUAAUAAAUUUCAUUGUGGAAUAAUUUUAUACAUAAUAAACUAUAUCUGUUUCAGGUGUACAUUUUGAUAAAUUUUGAUAAUUGUUAUGAAACAACC